UGUCCUCCCCAGACUUUAGAGGUCAUGCUGGGUAAACAAGUACUAAAUUUGUAUCAUAUUACCGUCAUAAUGAAAUUUCCACAUAGAGAACACCCAAGAUACUGUCAUUUUUACUUAAUACAAACUUUCUUUUCCAAUGUUGCCCCUAGAUUCAGAUUCUCUUGAUUUCAGUCUGUGCUACUGUUUGAGCUAAUUUUUAGGUGGCUAGAGGAUUCACUUUAAAACGUUUCUCCCUGGAUACUUGCAUUUCCCAAAAAAUGAAGUCACCAAAUUAUAUGUCAAAAGGCUUGAUGGAAAUGCACAGUAACUGAAUACCUAUCUCAUCAAAUGCCAGACCCUAGAAGACUGUUGCUUCUUCUUCUACCAGUGGGUUCUCAUUUUCCUCCUAAUCUAAUUAUAGAAUGGUAAACUCCCUGUGACUUUCCAAACUGACAAGCACACUUUUUUCCUCCCCCCUUGAAUCCUCAUUUAAUGCAAGAACCCUCAUACUCAGAAGCUUCCAAAUAAACCUUUGAUACAG
rnacentral:lncRNA from 1 species